rnacentral:tRNA from 1 species
CCUUCGAUAGCUCAGCUGGUAGAGCGGAGGACUGUAGGACCUUAGGUCGCUGGUUCGACUCCGGCUCGAAGGA